rnacentral:rRNA from 1 species
GACGAACGCUGGCGGCGUGCCUAAUACAUGCAAGUAGGACGCAGUUGCGAACGGGUGAGUAACGCGUAGGUAACUGCCUAUUAGAGGGGGAUAACUAUUGGAAACGAUAGCUAAUACCGCAUACUAGUAGAUGGACCUGCGUUGUAUUAGCUAGUAGGUAGGGUAAUGGCCUACCUAGGCAACGAUACAUAGCCGACCUGAGAGGGGGAUCGGCCAAACCGGGAAUGAGACACGGCCCAGAGUCCUAAGGGAGGCAGCAGUAGGGAAUCUUCGGCAAUGGGGGGAACCCUGAACGAGCAACGCCGCGGGAGUGAAGAAGGUUUUCGGAUCGUAAAGCUCUGUUGUUAAGGAAGCGGUACUUAAACAGAAAGGGACGGCUAACUACGUGCCAGCAGCCGCGGUAAUAC